GCCAAAGUAAUCAGAAAUUGAAGGUAAGAAACUACAUAAGCAAUACUACAACUAUAGUAUGGACAGAUAGUGAGACAAUGCACUAUUAAUUACUAAUCUUCUAUGCCAAUCCAUGUCAUCUACAACCUCCCAUCUAAUAAAAUCAUGUCCUUGAUAAGUUGAAACCGUGUCAUAUCAUGUCUAAUCACUUCUCCCCCAAUACUUCUUCGGUCGACCUCUUCCUCUCCUGAAACCAUAACCACCCAUAUCCAACCCCUCACACCCAUACCCAUGAAGUAUUCAUCAGGAAAAAAACUCUUCAAACAACCCAAAAAAGGUUCAAAAUUUGCAAAAAGGAACAUACGGUAAUCAUCAGAAAAAACUCCAAACAAACCAAACAAGGUUCAAAAUUUGCAAAAAGGAAACAUACCCAUUAACCAAUCAUAAGAAGAAACUCCACAAACAACCCAAUAAACUUCAAAAAAGGAAACAUACCCAUAAGAGCAGCUUCAAGAAUUUGAUGAGCAAGAAG
rnacentral:lncRNA from 1 species